AAAAUCAAUGUCACAAUCGGUGCUCUAACAACGGCACUGAUCUUUCCAUAGUAAUAAGUAAAUGCUGUUUGUUGGAGUUGUACAGGAGC
rnacentral:pre_miRNA from 1 species